UUUAAACCAGAUGUCAGUUUGAUAUAUAACACAUAAAUGUAGUGAUAAACAUUUCUUGGAAACCUUAGCGUUGUCAGUGCUUUCCUGCAAUUUUCAAAUGGAGUGAAUACCCCUCAACGAAACAUCAAAUCAAUCCAGGUUUAAUCGAGAAGAAUUCCGGUAUUUUCUGCAAACUUUACAGUUUCCAACAUUCCACCUGAAAUAUCCAAUUACAGUUUUCUUCUGAAGAUAUAUUAUAUCGCGAACUGAAACCAAAUCAUACUGCAAGUUAGAGAACGGACGUGCUUCUGCCAAAGAGCGGUAUAUUCAACGCCAAACUGCUGACCGUCAUGAAUUCUCAGAAAUGAUGAUAAGGUAAAUACCGCUGUGGAAGAAUCGGAUAGAUGAAAUCCGAUCAUCUUUUGGCCACAAUCUCGAUAAGAAACAACUAUGUUGGCUGUUCGAAGGGCGAUGACAUCGGAUUUUCGAAAAUGCUCAAAGAUGAGGAAAUGGAAUAUUUGAUUUGCACAAACAGAAUAAUUCAGAAUUACAUUUCAUGCUAAUAUUUCUAUGAAAUUUGGCACACGUCCUCUGCAUGAA